ACAGGCUCCAUAGAUUUCUCAAGUGUUUAAAUUAAGGAUUGUGAGUUCUUGAAACUUGACAAGGAAAGCAGGAUUGUCACCGCUGGCUGCCUGAACCAGAGUGUUAUAGUCAUUGUCAAAAGACGGGCUGCAGAACCAUAGAAGACAACAUUCUUGCCUUCAGUGUAUCAUCAGAGGAAUCUUGAACAAAAGAGAACAAAAUACUUUUAUGAUAUCUGAACUUCAGAAGACUCAAAGGUCAUGUCCAGCUCACUUAUGCUGCCCAACUCCUUUACCUGCAAGAUAGCAACAGAGGGGCAGUCUGACAAAUUGGUGUCUGACUUGGAAGCGAGUGUGAAGCAAAGGUGUGUCACUGAAUUCCUCCAAGCAGGAAAAAAAAAAAAAAUGGCACCCAUUCGUAUUUAUCAAAGUUUGCUGAAUGUUUCUGGAGGCCAAACAGUGGAUAUGAGCACAGUGAAGUGGUGAGUGGUGCCUUUCAGCAGUGGCAACAAUGGCACGAAAGAAAAGUCACGUUCCAGAUGGCCAUGCAGAUUUUUAUAAGCAUGGCAUGCAGGCUCUUGUUCGUUGC
ensembl:lncRNA